rnacentral:misc_RNA from 1 species
UGUGGGAGCGAGCUUGCUCGCGAUAGCGAUUUGUCAGGUACCUCCGUAGGCACUGAACCAACGCAAUCGCGAGCAAGCUCGCUCCCACA